rnacentral:rRNA from 1 species
AUUGAACGCUGGCGGCAUGCCUUACACAUGCAAGUCGAACGCGAAAGGGGGGCAACCCCGAGUAGAGUGGCGAACGGGUGAGCAAUACAUCGGAACACGUCCUGUAGCGGGGGACAACCUCGAGAAAUCGAGGCUAAUACCGCAUACGAUCUACGGAUGAAAGUGGGGGACCNCAAGGCCCCACACUAUAGGAGUGGCCGAUGCCGGAUUAGCUUGUUGGCGGGGUAAAANCCCACCAAGGCGACGAUCCGUAGCUGGUUUGAGAGAACGACCAGCCACACUGGGACUGAGACACGGCCCAGGCUCCUACGGGAGGCAGCAGUGGGGAAUCUUGCGCAAUGGGCGAAAGCCUGACGCAGCGACG